UUAAACAAAUUUUCUUAAAAUUUCUGAGGUUUGUUUAUUUCUUUUAUCAGUAAAU
rfam:Hepatitis A virus genomic RNA, complete sequence, isolate AH1.